UUCGGGAGUAACUGCCCGUACCUUGACGGUACCUAACCAGAAAGCCACGGCUAACUACGUGCCAGCAGCCGCGGUAAUACGUAGGUGGCAAGCGUUGUCCGGAAUUAUUGGGCGUAAAGGGCUCGCAGGCGGUUUCUUAAGUCUGAUGUGAAAGCCCCCGGCUCAACCGGGGAGGGUCAUUGGAAACUGGGAAACUUGAGUGCAGAAGAGGAGAGUGGAAUUCCACGUGUAGCGGUGAAAUGCGUAGAGAUGUGGAGGAACACCAGNUGGCGAAGGCGACUCUCUGGUCUGUAACUGACGCUGAGGAGCGAAAGCGUGGGGAGCGAACAGGAUUAGAUACCCUGGUAGUCCACGCCGUAAACGAUGAGUGCUAAGUGUUGGGGGGUUUCCGCCCCUUAGUGCUGCAGCUAACNGCAUUAAGCACUNCCGCCUGGGGAGUACNGGCCNGCAAGACUGAAACUCAAAGGAAUUGACGGGGGCCCGCACAAGCGGGUGGAGCAUGUGGUUUAAUUCGAAGCAACGCGAAGAACCUUACCAGGUCUUGACAUCCUCUGACAACCCUAGAGAUAGGGCUUUCCCUUCCGGGACAA
rnacentral:rRNA from 1 species